rfam:Gossypium hirsutum cultivar TM-1 chromosome 15, whole genome shotgun sequence
AACCCAUGGUAAGGCCACCUUCUCAAAAGAGCCUUGUAUCUCUCCCAUGCAUCAAUGAGCAUUUCUAGAUCCAUCUGUACAAAGGAAGAGAUGUCAUUCCUCAACUU